ACCUGGGUGGCUCAGUCGGUUGAGCGUCUGACUUUGGCUCAGGUCAUGUUCUCACAGUUCAUGGGUUCAAGCCCUGUGCUGGGCU
rnacentral:tRNA from 1 species